GUGAGGCACGCAGGACUAAGUCACAGCAACUGAUUUAAAAGGAAAGGCUUCUGUUUGGAUGUGAACUUUGAAGACAUCUGUCACAGCUUAACCCAAAUCAGAAGUCUCGGGCAGUAAUGGGCCUGACUGGAUCCGUUUCUACUCUCUUGCCCGGUGGUAGGACCUGAAGG
rnacentral:lncRNA from 1 species